rnacentral:rRNA from 1 species
CAAUAGCGUAUAUUAAAAUUGUUGCAGUUAAAACGCUCGUAGUUGAAUAUCUGGCGUGUGAGGCCGGUCCGCUUCGGUGUGCACCGCGUCCUUUACACAUCAUCCGUUUGCUUACCUUGGUUUGCAAACCGUUCACUUUGAGGAAAUUAGAGUGUUCAAAGCAGGCUCACGCCUUGAAUACUUCAGCAUGGAAUGAUUGUUAGGACACUCGUCCUAUCAGUUGGUUCUAGGGGCGAAUGUAAUGAUUAAUAGGGUCGGUCGGGGGCAUUCGUAUUGAACAGCUAGAGGUGAAAUUCUUAGAUUUGUUCAAGACGAACUACUGCGAAAGCAUUUGCCAAGGACGUACNCAUUA